rnacentral:rRNA from 1 species
UUUUGGACAAUGGGGGCAACCCUGAUCCAGCAAUGCCGCGUGAGUGAAGAAGGCCUUCGGGUUGUAAAGCUCUUUUGUCAGGGAAGAAACACCGGCUCUAACACAGUCCGGGAAUGACGGUACCUGAAGAAUAAGCACCGGCUAACUACGUGCCAGCAGCCGCGGUAAUACGUAGGGUGCAAGCGUUAAUCGGAAUUACUGGGCGUAAAGCGUGCGCAGGCGGUUAUACAAGACAGGCGUGAAAUCCCCGGGCUUAACCUGGGAAUGGCGCCUGUGACUGUAUAGCUAGAGUGUGUCAGAGGGGGGUAGAAUUCCACGUGUAGCAGUGAAAUGCGUAGAUAUGUGGAGGAAUACCAAUGGCGGAGGCAGCCCCCUGGGAUAACACUGACGCUCAUGCACGAA